rnacentral:rRNA from 1 species
AUUGAACGCUGGCGGCAGGCUUAACACAUGCAAGUCGAGCGAGCGGCGGACGGGUGAGUAAUGUAUGGGGAUCUGCCCGAUGGAGGGGGAUAACUCCUGGAAACGGUAGCUAAUACCGCAUACCAUCAGAUGAACCCAUAUGGGAUUAGCUUGUAGGUGGGGUAACGGGUCACCUAGGCGACGAUCCCUAGCUGGUCUGAGAGGAUGAUCAGCUACACGGGGACGUAGACACGGACCAGACUCCUACGGGAGGAAGAAGUGGGGAAUAGUGGACAAUGGGCGCAAGCCUGAUGUAGCCAUGCCGCGUGUAUGAAGAAGGGCUUAGGGUUGUAAAGUACUUUCAGUCGGGAGGCGUUACCUACAGAAGAAGCACCGGCUAACUCCGUGCCAGCAGCCGCGGUAAUUC